GUUCACUUCCAGCCGGUAAAUAUACCAAAAUACAACUGUACAUUUAAAACAUUAUCUAACUGGUAAUGUUCAUAACUGCACAUUAUCAGCAUGGGAGAGUACGGUAAAUGAAGGCGUAUAAAUGCCUUGGUCAUCACCUGGAUAACAGACUGGACUGGAGACAGUCUGUUAACAGUAAAGCAGCAGGAAAAAAGAAGCGGCAGAGAAGAUUUUAUUUCUUGAGUUUCUUUGGUGUUUGCAACAAGAUUCUGCAGGUUUCUACAAGUCUGUUGUAGAGAAUGUAAGGUUUUUGUCAUUAUCUGUAGGGGUAGCAGCAUCAGAAAAAAAGAUGUGAAAGCCUCAACAAGCUGAUAAAGAAGACUGGUUCUGUUCUGAGGAAUGGUCUGGAACUCAUGGAGAUGACUGUGCAAAGAAGGAUUCUUUUCUUUAUGAACUUUGAGGACAUGCCUGAGUGUCCUCAUCAGACUGUCCUACAGUAGAGUGUCUUCAAUCAGAGGCUGCACUUUUUCUUCACCGAUUUCAGAUCGGUUGGUUACAGCCAUGUUUCUGUGACAAGCCAAAUGCCCCAACAUAAAUGAACUGAUCAAACACUCUAAACAGGGAUGCUUUUUAGUGUACCUGUUGUCUUAUAUGUUGCAUGUUUCUAAAGCUGUACUGUAAUUUGAACAUAAUGUUUGAUUCAGGUUUCUUCAUUAGAUUAUAAAGAUUGAAUAUGUGCAUAGAAAAUCUAGUGUAAAUUGAAGUGCACCCUUCAACAAUUCAUAUACAGUUAUAUUUCUGUUGUAUUGUUUCAGCGUUGUAUAUUCCACAAGCACAACAGAGUAACAGCAUUGCUUGUUAACAAGAUCAAAUUCUGCCACCAAUGGUAAUUCCAAACUUCCACUCUUAUCAACCUACAGAUCGUGGCUUAUUAGUCACUAUCUCCUGCCUGCAGUCCUGACCCCACCUCUGUUGAACCGCUGUGGGGUCAGCCUAGGUUUCAUGUUCCUACCAGAGUGACCAACCCAACCACAUUGGCAGACUUAUGAUGUCCCAUAGCACUGUGUGACCAAGCUGGUGACCCCCUGAAGUGGGGGUGCCAGGAUUUUGUAGUUCUCUGGGAGUUUUCAUUGCAAUAAACAGCAUAAAGCAACAGCCAAUAACAGAAUAAACUGUUUUUCAUAGCAGCAACCCACAUAGUCACCUCUGCUGCUCAAUCCACACAUGCAGUUUCUUUACAAAUGUUGCAUCACUCAAAACUCUGCAUCAUUAUGAGAUUAUAUGCUAAGAGACAUUGAUACAACAAAGACAUAAUCAAACAAAGACAAAUUUCCUCACCUUUGUUGUUUUUUAACAAAACAAAAUUGCUGAGUGAAAAGUAUUCUGGAAUAAUGUUUCAGCAUUGCUUUUUUUACUUUGUAAGUACAGUAAUUAACAGCAUCAGAUGUUUUAUCAGCAGUGGUGUUGGGGGUUGUGGUUAGUAACAUGUUUCAACUGUUUCAGAGAAAAGGGACCUUUGUUCCAUAAACUAUGGUGAAGUCAAGCAACGUAGCGAUGAAGAGAUGUUUUUAGGGCGGAUGUUGUUCUAAUGAUGGGGAUUUUACUUGACAUUUCUGCAGCUCUGCAUCAAUGCAAACAUGAAGAAACAAACAGCAGCUGAGCAGCAAGUGAUAAGAAAAAAGAAAUAACACCUUUUGAGCACUUCUCACUUCCCUCAUAUCUGCAAUAGAAUUUAUGGUGCACUGAAAGCAUAGCUUCCUAUUUUCGUGUUUCCUGUCCCUCUAAAUCUGUCGUUAUGUACUUCAGCAGCCUCUUUCUGUAGAUCUAAACCGAUUAGGUUUAAAUUCACACAGACUGGGUUUGACCUGAGGUAGGCUUUCAGAAACUGUUUUUACAAAAUCUAGAAAAAAUAUAUUAUAAUAAAUAUUUCAGAAAUCUUGUAAUGGACUCUCUCCUCAAGAUUGUACUUCUCUUGCCCAAUAGCCGCUGUAGAUAAGCAACAUUAGCCCAUGCUGGGACCCUGCAAGGACAAGCUCAUGUAUACAGAGGAUGGAUCUCAGAAAUGCAACUAUUUUUUAGGAAUUCCUGUUUGGUAGAAAAUAAUUUCAUCCAGACUUAACAGGUUGUGAUGGAAAAAUUACAUUAAGGUAUACGUACGAGCCCCAAUGUCAAGGGACUCAGGGUUUUCCUCAACAAACCUGCUGAGCCUCAUGGUAGAGUCAGCAUCCCACCACUGUCUCCCACUGGUCCACCAGCACCUACCAGUGGUCCACCAGCCGUCCACCAGUUAAAAACAAUUCAAAAAUAUGACUAGAUAAUCAUGUGUUAUCAGUUACUGAACCACUAACUAUAGAAUCUUAAAAAGGCACAUUGAAAUACAAUUGAAAUAAACAAUGUGAAUAUUUUGCACUUCAAUUAAAUCCCAAUGAAGUAAUCAGUCUUAAAACAAGCGAUGUAAUGCUGGUCCCAUUUAACAAUAAAAGGCUUCUUAAGGUACAAAAUUCAAAUAUUGUGUAAAGUUUUUUGUUUUUUUGUAAAUCUUCCUAUUUUACUUUGCGAUGUCUGAAGGUUGGUGCAGUAUUUUGAUUGAUGAUCAUUCCAGAUGCUAGUUGGGUUAAUUAUCUGUGUGUCCAUGAUUGUUUGUCCUGUGUCUCUGUGACGGACUGUUGACCUGUACACCACUUCUUGCUCAUCAAUCACUGGUCAUAGGCCCCAGGAUUCCAUCCAUCCAUCCAUUUUCUAACACCCUUGUCCCUAGUGCGGUUGGGAGAGGUGUUGGUGCCUAUCUCCAGCGAACUUUUCAAGCGAGAGGCAGGGUACACCCUUAACAGGUCGCCAGUCCAUCGCAGGGCCCCAGGAUUAUGUGGGAAUAGAAGUUUGAUCAAUCAACAGAUCCAAAUGAUAUGAUUGAUAUAAUGAGAAUUGCUCAUGAACAUGUUUUUAAAUUGGUUAAAUGUCAGAAAAGUGUUACAAAUAAUUUUUAUUUAAACUCUCAGCAAUUGUUGCUGUGAGGCUUUUCUCCCAGCUAAGCAACAUCAAUAAUCAAGUUGCUGGGCUCCCACAAUCUUGAAAGGUAGAAAAACAUUUGCCAGUUUUAAAAGAUAGGGAUGAAAAUAAUAUAAAAGAAGUUUAACACUGUAAUUGUUAAACUGAACAACCGUUUACCAGAGUGGCCAUUAUUUUUUUUAUUGCAUUCUUAGCUUUCUCUCUCAUUUAAGCAGUUUAAGCAUACAAGUAAAAAUACUGAUUGAUUCUUUGUCCACUACCUGGGGGCAGAGUGUAUUGAAUACCAGCACAAUGUUGUGAAGGCUCAUUAAGUUUGCUUCAUCCACAGAAAACAAGAAAGUUUUAAGUAAAAACUCCUAACAAAAGGAAGCAACAUGUUAGAGGUAUGUUCAAGAAGACCCAGGCGCUUUAUUGCGAUAACUACUGCUUGAAACAGAAAAAUAACAUUGAUAAUAGAGAUUAACACAACUGCAUUUUACACUUAGCCCCCUUUAGCUUUUAGGACCUGUUCGUUGUGACUAGGAAACUAUACAAAAACUUAGUGCUUUUAGCUUGCAAGGGUCCAGAGGAUGUCAAAGAUGUUUUAUGGACAACAAUGAAAAGAUUUAGCCCAAAAUCUGGACUGUGGACACUGACAUUAGCUUUGGAGACGUCUGUGCUGCUGCUACAUGUUUAGCAUUGAGAUGUUAUUUUAGGCUUGAAUAGCUUUACUGACAGGUUAACAACUUUUAGCACAACUUGAACACAACAUACUCUUUUUCUUCAUCCAGUCAGAUACAUUUUUGAAGCAAAGAUUAACCUGAGCCAAAAGAAGCAUCUGUCAUCCAUCACUGUUGUUCUAAAAAAGAUUAAUUUUGAUUAAUUGUGUUAUAAUUUUUAACGCAUUAAAACCUAUGUAAUUAUUUAACACAUUGCAGUAGGGGUGUAAUAUGACUACCAUGAAUUUUUGGACAUGUGGAUAAAUAGCCUACAUGUGUUCACUAUCCAAAGUUUACUCAGAUAAAUGUGGAAUGAUUCAUUCUUCUCUGGUGAAUGUUUUCCUUUGCUCCAUCAGUCCCAGCUGGAUGUCUGGACAAAGGACAUGAUUUUAGAAGAGUGAUUUGUAGGAUGGAACAGAACAAAGUAAUGUGCUGUUAGUAGUUGCAUGUGUUUAUAAUCUAAAAGGGGCCAAAGUGUUGUUCAGCAUUGGUUUGGCUCAAACUACUAUUGACUUCUGAGUAUGACGCAUGUGAACCUGGCUUUUUUUUUGUCUAUUUCUCCACAUAUUUAGCCAUAAAAUCUAUAAUAAACUCAUGUUUUACUUUCUCUGUUGUUAUAUAUAGAAGACCUUCCUGAGGUGAGUGACUCAUAGAUACUCACUUCUCUAAAUAUGAUCUUUGAUGUUUUUCCCAGUUAAAAUAGGUGGUAUGUGAACAAACCCUGGAGAAAACCUGUUCUCACUGUUGCCAGGCAAUUUUCUGUUUUAAAUUGAUUCCUAAAUUUCACAUUUUCCAUGUCUCCUCCUGACUUUUUUAUUGUACCUUUUGUGUGUGGUGAGAAGUGUUUAUACAAAAAUCCAAAAUGACCUGUCUUACACUUUGCCACACUAAUUGCAUGUCAAAACUCUUGAAAUACACAGAAUUUAUAAAUGUACUGUAUAAGACUGUCAGUGUUUUUUCCUCUAGGUUUUUAUAGGACAGAGAAGUUUAGUGAUUCAAUUUGUGACAGACCCUCUUCCUUUAAGACCUGGCAUGCAGAAAUUGUGUUCAAGGAUAGAAAUGAGCCUAUCACUCCAUGGCAUGGUCAUGUAGUGAUAAAAUCUUAAAAAAGGGGUAAUUACAUAUUUACACAUGAGCUGUCUGACUGAAAUAAUUAUUUUGGUUUCUACGUUUUACUGCACCUUUUCAGGUCUGCACAUGUGGACAGGCCUCUACUUUAUUACACAUAUUCUCAUGUUAAAUAAUAAAAUAGAUUCCGGUACUUUCAUUUUUAAUCAGCUUCCAUUCAAAAUCAAACUGACCUAGAUCAUUGUUUACUUAUUACAGAUUCUAAAAAAAUGUUGUAAGUUUUGAAAACAGAUGACUUUAGUGGUUGAUUGAACAAAGUGAACACUUUAGCACUAGUCAAGCAUGGAAGCUUAAAAAAGCCAAACUGGAUUUUAUUCUAUGAACUCUUUAUGUUCUCACAACCAGAAUAAACAUUUUACUUUCAACCUGUGUUUUAAAAAAAAUUAUGUUAUGUAGAAGUGUUGCUCAAUAGUGUAAUCAGAGGACAACUCCAAUAGGAAUUGUAUUUGCGUAGCAACUGUCAUUCACUAGGCCUUGUUGAAAUGGACAUAACUUGUUCAAAGAGUAACAUUAAAGAUUUGUGAGCACAAUGCAUUUAAGUAAUCUGCUAACAGUAAAGGGAGAUUUACAUCGUCCAUGUCACAGAACAUGGCUGUCUGCAGACAGACUGUUUGUGGCUGGCUGCUGACCAGUGCUCUGUGUUGUGGAAGAGUCACCAACUCUGCAGCUAAAGCUAACCUACCUAUAGCUCAGAUUCGGUUUCACCGCGCUUCAGUUCACAUGCUCAAUGUACGUCAUUGGUGAGAACUGAUGCAUGUAAAAUUUCUCACCACACUGGAAUGAUCCUAAUAAAUAUGACCAGUCGAGAGUAUGCAUACAGAGUGCGCUCCGUAUUGCUUGCUUCAAUGCUCACGCAUUGCGGUAGUCCAUCCACUGAAAGUGAGUUCUGUUUAAUUUGCAUUGAGCUUGUUAGCACAGAACAGUCCUAUGUAGCUAGAACUGUGGCCAACACUUCCUGUGGUGCACUGCAAACACUGACAUGGUAGAACAUGAUCCACUGACAGGACUAUUGGUAUUGACAGAUUGUACUGUCAUCAAUUGCUACUCAAGGUGCACUAUUCUUUGCACCCUGUGCAGCUGAGUAGCUGAGUUAGGAUGGUCAGCUCCAUCAUUCAGGUUUCUGACCAGGAUGUCCCUUGUUGUCAUGGGAACACCUUGGCAUACCAAAGGUUUGGCUGGAGAGUGUCGAUAGAGGAGAGGGAUGUGUGGGACUCGACCUUAGAUAAAGUGGAAGACAUUGACAGAUGGAGCAUGAUUUGUCUAAGGCAGGUAUGGUCAAUGCUAUUGACAUGUGAAGCUUGAUGGAGUUAUAAGAAGCAUUCUCCUGUAGAUAAAUGUAAAGAUCUCUAUAAAAAACUUUUCUACAUGUGAAGAACUUGCAUCAACCUGAGAACUACAGGACCUGCUAUGAACUAAUGACCCCAGCCCUUCUAUCAACAGUAUUCAUCACAAUGUUCAUUUCAGGCCUCGUUGACAUUCUCUUUACUACUAAAGCAUCAUCUCCAUCUGCAUACUGUUCUGAGAUGGGAACAGCUGUCUUUUUAUAAGAUAUGAUUUAUAAUGGAAAAUACUCAUUAAGUUAAACUUUUUUCAAGAGAAGCUAUGAUUAAUAAAGAACUAAAUAUAUAAAUUUAUUACGUUGGCGUAAAAACAGACAAUUUGUCAAACAAAUUGUCUAUUUCCCAUUAAUACUGUUUAUUUAUCAGUCAUGCAGCUCACAAAUAGAAUAGAAUAGAAUAGACUUUAUUGAUCCCUAAAGGGGAAUUGCUUAUUAGUUGACAAGCUACUCCAUCUAGUGUAUUAAAUAUUAUUAAUGCAAGUAUAACCAGAAGAGAUAACGUUUAUAAUAUAGAUAUACCAAAGAUGAAAUAAUCUAUAUCAUGAUGAGAUAAUCUAUAAAUACAAUAAAUAAUAUAUAUUAAGAUAUUCUCAACUCUGUUUUAUAAGCAGUUAAUUAUAAACCACAACUGGUAAAUAGCAGCUCCUCUAUAAAACACAUUUUAACACGUUGAUUGGUUUCUCAUUGCCUUUAGAUGGAGGUGUGUGUUUUCCUGUGUGUCAUGAUGGGUGAUUGAUUACUCAGUGACAGAAACAGGCUCCUGCCCCCAUGACCUACAAGGAUAAGCAGUUGUGGAUCUAGAAUUAUUCAUUUGUUCACAUUUAUUUAGAGAAAUAUUUAUUCCAUUCAGUCCAAUCAUACAGUCAGUUACCUGCACUCCACAUCAUUCCUGGUUAUAAAAGAAUUGUAGUCAAGUUCAGUUUAUUAUCUCUACUGGUAAAAGGUUGUCUGUCUAAGACAAUCCAGACGACUGCAUUGAAACAAUUGCUUUGCAGCAAUCACUGCUCCUAAAUAAGCACAUAGGAACAGUGGGAAAGAGAACUCCCCUUUAAUGGGAAAAACCCCUAGCAGCAAUAUACCGGAACAACAGGAAACUGCAGUCUCUAGAUGUUGUUUCCAGAAUAGAGAUGUGUUUAAACA